rnacentral:rRNA from 1 species
AUUGAACGCUGGCGGCAGGCCUAACACAUGCAAGUCGAGCGGAUGAAGGGAGCUUGCUCCUGGAUUCAGCGGCGGACGGGUGAGCAAUGCCUAGGAAUCUGCCUGGUAGUGGGGGAUAACGUCCGGAAACGGGCGCUAAUACCGCAUACGUCCUGAGGGAGAAAGUGGGGGAUCUUCGGGCCUCACGCUAUCAGAUGAGCCUAGGUCGGAUUAGCUAGUUGGUGGGGUAAAGGCCUACCAAGGCGACGAUCCGUAACUGGUCUGAGAGGAUGAUCAGUCACACUGGAACUGAGACACGGUCCAGACUCCUACGGGAGGCAGCAGUGGGGAAUAUUGGACAAUGGGCGAAAGCCUGAUCCAGCCAUGCCGCGUGUGUGAAGAAGGUCUUCGGAUUGUAAAGCACUUUAAGUUGGGAGGAAGGGCAGUAAGUUAAUACCUUGCUGUUUUGACGUUACCAACAGAAUAAGCACCGGCUAACUUCGUG